rnacentral:rRNA from 1 species
AGCGAACGCUGGCGGCAGGCUUAACACAUGCAAGUCGAGCGGGCCUUUCGGGGUCAGCGGCGGACGGGUGAGUAACGCGUGGGAACGUGCCCUCUGGUUCGGAAUAACUCAGGGAAACUUGAGCUAAUACCGGAUACGCCCUUUUGGGGAAAGGCUUGCUGCCGGAGGAUCGGCCCGCGUCUGAUUAGCUAUUUGGUUAGGUAACGGCUCACCAAGGCGACGAUCAGUAGCUGGUCUGAGAGGAUGAUCAGCCACACUGGGACUGAGACACGGCCCAGACUCCUACGGGAGGCAGCAGUGGGGAAUAUUGGACAAUGGGCGCAAGCCUGAUCCAGCCAGGCCGCGUGAGUGAUGAAGGCCUUAGGGUUGUAAAGCUCUUUUAUCCGGGACGAUAAUGACGGUACCGGAGGAAUAAGCCCCGGCUAACUUCGUG